AUGUUAGUGUUAAUUGAGUUGUUCAAAUCUUUUAAAGACUUUUUUUCCCUGUUUUUAUCAGUACGACGAAAGAAUCUUAAAAUCACCAACUAUGAUUGUAUCUCUUUUCUUUUCAGUUUUUUUCAGCUUUUCCUUUAUAUAUUCUGGAACUCUUAUUAGGUAUAUAAAAAGUUAGAAUUGUUACAAUUUAUGGUUGAACCAUUAUGUCAUUAUGAAAUGUCCUUCUUUAUCUCCAGUAGUAUUUCUUGCUUUGAGGUCUACUUUGAACUUCUGUUAACAUAGUCAUUCAGUCUUUUCAUCAGUAAUUCUGUGGUUUACUUUUUUCCUUCCUUUUAUUUCAACCUAUCUUAUUCUUACAUUUAAGACACUUAUAUUUAAGUGUCUUUUGGAAAUAGCAUAUUAUUCAGUCAUGUUUGUUUAAUCCAGUUUGACAAUCUGUGUUUUAACUGGAAUGUUUAUUCUGUUUAUAUUUAAUGUAAUUACUAAUAAUAGUUGGAUAGAAAUCUAUCAUUUCUCUUGUUAUUUUCUAUCUCAUAUUCUUUCUUUUUUUUGUUCUUUAAAAUUUUUCUAUUUUUUGAUUUGCCAAGUUUUCUAAAUUUCAUUUUUAUUAGCUUUUUGUUUAGAGCUUCCAUAAUUAUAAUUUUUUAGUUAUCAUAGAUAUUUUAAUAUUUUAUUAGUAUCAGUACUUUUACCACUUAUUGAACAAUGGAAAACUUAACACAAUUUAAUUUCAUUUACUCCUUCUCUGCUGUUUGUUUAUAUGUUUUACUUCAACGUGUGUUAUAAACCACAUAGACAUUUUUUAAACAAUCAGUGUUCUUUUGUAUUUAUCCCCAUAUAUACCCUUUCUAGUGCCCUUCAUUUACUUUUGGAGUUCUUUGCUACCAUCUGGGAUAAUUUCCCUUUUCCCUGAAGAAAUUCCUUUAAUAUUUCAUCUAGUGCUGAUCUGCUAAAUGCAGAUUUUCUUAGCUUUUGUCUGUGAAUGUCUCUAUUUUGACUUUUUGAAGAAAAAUUUUCCUCAUGCUGAAUUCUAGGUUGGUAUCUUUUAUUCUUUCAACACUACAAAUACUCCUUUUCUGGCUACCAUAAUUUUUGUUGAAAGUCAGCCAUCAGUCUUAUUAUUGCUCCUUUAAAAGUAAUGUGCAUUUUUUGACUGCUUUAACAAAUUUUUUUUGUUUGUAGUUUAUAACAGUUUGUGUAGUGUCUAAGCAUGAUUUUAUUUGCAUUCAUCUUUUGCAGGAAAAAUUUUAAAUAAAUAAAUAUUUUAAGUGUUUCCACCCUAAUCUCACUCCUCUCUCCUCAACUUGUUAGAUGUUUUGUCAUCAUUAGAUGUCAUAUGUCUGUUGUGCUUAUUCUUUUCUUUCUAUGAGUUAGGUAUUUCUACUGUUUUUUUUUUUUUUUUUAAGGAUAUUUAUUUAUUUUGAGAGAGAGAGAGAGAAUGCAGGAGAGGGGCAGAGAGAGGUAAAGAGAAUCCCAAGCAGGCUCUGCACUGUUAGCACAGAGCCUGAUGCAGGAAUUGAUCCUAUGAACUGUGAGAUCAUGACCUGAGCCAAUAUCAAGAGUCAGAUGCCUAACUGAUUGAGCCACCCAGGCGCCCCAUCUACUAACUUGUUUUUUAAGCUUACUAGUUCUCUCAUUUGCUGUGCCCAGACAAAUAUUAAAUCCAUCCAGUGAAUUUAAGUUAAUUUAUCUUAUUUUUUCAAUUCUAAGAAGUCUGUGUGAUUCUUUUUUUAAUAGAUUUCCAUUUUUUUUGUUGACUGUCUUCAUACUUUUAUAUAUUUUGUCUACUUUUUUCUCUGUUUAUGAACAUAUUAAUAAUUGCUUGAUGUCUUUGCUUAUUCCACUACCUGCAUCAUUUCUGACUGCUUCUGUUUUCUGCUUUUUGUCUUGAUUACAGGUCAUAUUUUCUUGUCUCUUCACAUAUGUUGUUAAGGAAGGAAAAAAUAUACCAUGAAUAAUAAUGAAAAGUAGAGUAGUUAUAUGAAUAGAUGUUCAUUUUUUUAAAGUUCUAUAGUAAACAAUAUAUAAUUUAACUAGAUAGAGGCUGAAAAAAAUCUCUUCCUCCAGAGAUGGUUUUCCUUUUCUUUUCUCUUUUUUUUCAUGUUUUAUUUUUUAAAAUUUUCAUCCAAAUUAGCAUAUAGUUCAACAAUGAUUUCAGGAGUAGAUUCCUUAGUGCCCCAUCUAGCCCAUCCCCUCUCCCACAACCCCUCCAGUAACCCUCAGUUUGUUCUCCAUAUUUGAGUCUCUUCUGUUUUGUCCCUCUCCCUGUUUUUAUAUUAUUUUUGUUUCCCUUCCCUUAUGUUCAUCUGUUUUGUCUCUUAAAGUCCUCAUAUGAGUGAAAUCAUAUGAUUUUUGUCUUUCUCUGACUGACUCAUUUCACUCGCAUAAUAUCCUCCAGUUCCAUCCAUGUAGUUGCAAAUGGCAAGAUUUCAUUCUUUUUGAUUGCCAAGUAAUACUCCGUUGUAUGUAUAUGUGUGUGUGUGUGUGUGUGUGUGUGUGUGUGUGUGUGUAUACACCACAUCUUCAUCCAUUCAUCCAUCAACGGACAUUUGGGCUCUUUCCAUACUUUGGCUAUUGUUGAUAGUGCUGCUAUAAACAUGGGGGUGCAUGUGUCCCUUCGAAAUAGCACGCCUGUAUCCCGUGGAUAAAUGUCUAGUAGUGCAAUUGCUGGGUUGUAGGCUAGUUCUGGUUUUAGUUUUUGAGGAACCUCCAUACUGUUUUCCAGAGUGGCUGCACCAGCUUGCAUUCUCAGAGAUGGUUUUCCUUUUCAACUGUUGAGCCAACUGGCUGUGGUGCUGACACUACAGUUUAAUUAAGAAUUGAACUAAAUUUAAUUAGGGUCAGUCUGGAUUGCAGUUUUGGUAAGAUUUAGUUAGUCAUGUCUCUUUUGCCAGUCUUGAGUUACUAGGUUUUUGACUGAGAAACUGUCAGGUUGUUUCUUUACCAUCUAGAAGAUUACAGGAGAUUCAAGUCUGUUCUUUGGAAGUUUUGAGGUUGGCCUUUUGAUCUCUUGCUUCACACUGCUUCAAAUUCAGGCAAAUAUUGAAAACCUGCUUAUGGUUAUUUCCUUUUUCUAGCAGGUUUUUUGCUAAGUACCAUGAGACUGAGGGAGAUUUCACUCUGCCAUUCUAGCUUAUUCUCCCAGCGUCCUGCAUCACCAUAGAACUCAGCAAAUAUCCCUUUUAGCCUUGCAUUUGGCACUUUCUAAUUUUUAGUCCACCACUCUAAAAAGCUCUGCUGCUUUCUGUCUUUACCAGUCCUUCUGCCUGGAUCAAUCUCAAUUCUCAGUCAGUGCCCAGAAUGUUUAAAUGCUCCUGGGAAAGAAAUAGCAGGUGAUUGUCAACUCAGCUAGCAAGGGCUCUUCUCUUUUGGAAUUUUAGUUUAUCUACUUCUUACUUCAUAAGCUCUCUGAUAUCUUAAGAAUAGGAUUUCAUUCAUUUUUUGCUUUUGAGAUAUCACAGUAACUAAUGUCUUCAAAGAUUGAAGCAGUGAACUGUAUUUUUUUCUGGUUAUAAAAGUAAUACAUGCUGUAUUAACUUUUGCUGAGUUAGGCUGCAUAACAGAUUACAAUACUUCAGUAUUUCAUUGGCUUACAAUAGCAAAGGUUUAUGUUUUGCUCUUGCUACGUGUUAGCUAAGGCUGGCAGUAGCUUUGCUCUUGCUCCAUGUGUCUUAUGAUUCUGAGAUCCAGGCUGGAGAACAACUUCUAUUUGGGACAUGCUGUUCUAAUAACAGGGAAAAAAAGAAAGAAAUCUGGCAGAAAUACACAGUGGCUCUUGAAACUUCUGGUUGGAUGUUUGUUUAUAUGUCAUUGGCCAAAGCAAAUCAAUAGCCAAAGUCAAUGGGGCAGAGAUGUUUACUUCUCUAUAAGAGUACUGUCAGCUACUUAGGAACAGGUGGAGAGGAUUAUCUUUUUGAAGGAAGGUGGAAAGAAUAAUUACAAAUUAUAAUAAAAUUUACCACACAUACGAACUGAAAAUAAAUACAGAGGUGUGUAGUAUUUCUAGUAGAAUUCUACCUUCUGCCCUCUAAGGUCAUCAGUGAUGAUACUUUGGUGUAUAUUCAGGAUUGAAACCUUCCUGUUAUGCUAAUCUGAUAGUUCUUUGGAAAUGAUAAUCUUGACAUAAAUUAGAAAUGAGAUUUUGUCUUUUUAACUAUUUACUCAUAAUUACAGAAGAGCCCUUAAACUGGUUACAUUUAGUUCUUCCUUUGCCAGGUAGUCCCCGACUUACUAUAAUUAAUUUUCAAUUUACUUAUUUAUUACUUUCAAUUUACUUCAAUUUAUAAUAUUUCAGUUUCUAAAUAUAAAACAUCUUUAGCCAAAAUUUGGGUCUGAUCCAUGACAUGUAGUAUCAUCACUUUCUUACUCUCUGAGAGAAGAUAAAAUUCAGAAUUGUGGAAUUUUGUAAAGGGUAUAUUUCUUAAGGGAAAGAGUGCUAGAAAUAAAAGUUAACAAAAAAUUCUUGGUCCAGCUCAACUAUUUCUACCUAAUGUAUUUCACAGUAAGUUUAAAAUGGGUCAAACAGACACCCUGUUAGAAUGAGACUACCCAUGAAGAAGGUUAGGUUUAUUUAGUCAUUUAUAGAUGUUUUCAUAUAGAGAGCAAUUUUUAGUGCUUCAGAUUUUCAUGAAGGGGUUUCAUUGGCAGGGAAAAGUGCAAGUAACUUUAUACAAAUUGGGGAGGGCAAGACUCAUGUGUGCAUUUGGACUCUGAAAGGCUCUUAGCAUUUGGGCCAUAGAAGAAGAGGGAGGUGAAAGAGGGCUGGGAAAAAUGGUCUAAUGUGUAAUUUUGCCUUAGGUCCAACCCAAUGGAGUUUGGCAUGCCAAUGAAAAUUAAAUUUACAAGACAGGUUGGUGGUGUUGGUACCGUGGAAGAGUGACUUGAAUGAGGCACAUUUGGAUUCAGAUUCUUUUCUAGUUGUGUGACUAAAAUGCUGUGUGAUUUGGGCAGUUUAUUUAAUUUGUAUUUAUAAAAUAGAAAUAAUAAUUGAUUUAUUGAUCCAAUCUUUAAAUUGUCCCUCUGUUCCUUCAGUCAUCACUUCCUCUUUUAUCUAACUUAAAUUUUAUAGGUUUUUUAUUAUCUGUAGCAUACAUUCUCAGCUCCCUGGCAUUUACCCCUUAACUUUCUUGUCUGACUCUAAGUUGGUCAUACUCAGAAAAAGUAUAACCCAGGUGGCAUUCAGUAUUCUUUUAAAUUCAAUCUGUACCUGUGGACCUCUAUGUCUAGAGGAAAAUGCGAAAUCGUGCUGACGAGUUUUAUUUUUUUAUCUUUUAAUGUUUGUUUAUUUUUGAGACAGAGAGAGACAGAGCAUGAAGGGGGAGGGUCAGAGAGAGAGGGAGACACAGACUCUGAAACAGGCUCCAGGCUCUGAGCUGUCAGCACAGAGCAUGACACGGGGCUCGAACUCACAGACUGUGAGAUCAUGACCUGAGCCGAAGUUGGAAGCUCAACCGACUGAGCCACCCAGGUGCCCCAGUUUUACUUUAAAUUAAUGGUCAUAAACAUCAAGUGAGUCCUUUAUAUUAUCUGGCAUUCAUACUACAUUUUCCUAGGGCAUUUAUUUUUUUAUUCUCUUAGAUGGCUUAUUUCAUGUUUUCUCUCAUCAGACUUCCUGACAGUAUCUUUUCCCCAAUCUUGUCCUCAGCUGAUGAUUUUGCUUCUUAAGUCACUGAAAAAAAAUUGAAGCAAUCAGAAGGGAACUUGCAUGGACUCCUUUUAUCACAGCCAUCUACCUACCAAAAUCUCUAAUUCCUAUACUCUAUAUUCUCACCUAUUACUUUCAACUUUUCUAAAGCCAGUAUCUCUGUUGUGCAUUAUAUUCAUUUAUUUAUGCAUCCUUAAUAAUAUUGUUUCAUCAAUUCUCUACUCUUACUAAAGUUUUCUCAGUACUGCAUCACUGCCAUAAAAAGACAAAAGAUGUUUUAUUUUUAUAACAUCUUUUAUUUGGCCGUCCUUCCCUUACCAGGUAAUACUUUAUUUGCUCUCCAUUUACAACAAACUAUUUGAAAGAGUUGUCCAUGCUCACUGUGUCCAAUUACAUUUUUUUCUAUUUCCUUUUAAAUCCAGUACAGUUAUUUUUUAUCAUUGCAUUGAAACUACUCUCAAUAAAGUUACCAAUAACUUUUAUAUUGCCAAAUCUCAAGUUAAUUUCUCAAUACACAUCUCCCUUGACUUAGCAGCAACAUUUGAUAACAGUUGAUUAUUGUCUCUUGCCUAUCCCUUCUUGGCUUCCAGGAAAUUAUACUUUAAAAGAUCUUUCUUCCUGUAUCAUUUUUCCUUCUUCUCAGUCUCUUAAAAGUUGGGGUAUCUGUCUUUGGUUCUCUUCUCUGUCUACACUCACUCCCUUGUGACCAUGGCUCUAAAUACCAACUAUAUACUGACAACUGCCAAAUUUAUAUUUAUAUCUCCAUUUAAGACCCCUCUCUUGAAUUCCACACUCCUAUGUCUAUAUCUGUCUAUCUAUGUCUGUCAAGUAGGGGAUAUAUAUUUUUGUAUAUACUACUUGACAUUGCCAUUUGGAUGUCUAAUUAACAUUGUGUAAUUAAUAUGUCUGUAUCCAAAUUAUUGAUUUCCUGCUCAAAACUUGCUCUUGCCACAAUAUUUUUCAGCUCUGUAAAUGUCUACUACAUUUUUCCCAGUUGGAGCCACCAUUGAUUUCUUCUCUUUCUUACUCCCACAACCAGUUUGUAAUCAAAAGCUUGUCAAGCCAUACUUUGAAAAUAUGAAAAUGUACUUAAAAUACAUCAAUUUCUUACUAUUUCCACUGCUAUUACCCUGGUCCAAACCAUUUUAUCUCACCUGGAUUACUGCAGUAAUCUGGUAAUUUGUCUCUCCGUUGCACUUUUACACUCCCUCUUACAGUCUUUUCUUAACACAGUAGCCAAGUGAUCCCCUUCCAAAAGUAAAAUGUUUCACUUCCCUGCUCAGAGUUGUCGCCUGGCUCCCAGGAACCACAGGACCAACUUCCUUAAAUGUCACCUUCUCAAACUCUCUUUUUCACAUAUAUUCCUCCCUUGUAUACUCCUAAUUUCCCUUACCUGCUCUAUUUUUUUUCUAUAGCAUUUAUUGCCAUUUAACAUAUUUUUUAAUUUACAUGUUGAGUUGUUUAUUGUCUUUUCCCUUUGUUAGAAUAAGCUUCACUAGGGCCGGGAUCUUCAUCUAUUUGUUUUAUUUACUGACACAUUCUUAGUAACUGAAACAGUGCCUAGCAUGUAAUAAGUGCCCAGUAAAUAUUUUUUGAGUGAAAUAAGAAUGCCUGUUCCUCAAGAUUGUAUAGAUAUUAACUGUGACAGUAUACUUGAAGUCCAGACGAUAACAGGCAAGCUAUACAUGCUUAGUAAUUUUGUUAUUUUUCUUCCCGUUUCUUAGUUACUCAGGAAGUGUUGGGAGUUCUGUGUUUAUUUCAUUCUCCCUGGUGUAGCCUUUGCAUCUGAACCAGCUUUUCCUCAUUCUUCUUUAUGUUCUCUCCCUCUUUCUAACAGAGAAGGGGGAAAGAGUUAAAAUUAAAGGAGUAGAAAUAUAGAGGAGGAAAAAGAUCUCUCAGUUUCUUGUAGGUGGAAAAAAAUUUAUCAGACAUCAGACUGCUACUUUUAAUGAUGUUUCUCCCAUUUUAGGAAAUCUCUUCUUUUUCUCCAUAUAUUAUUUUCUGGUUCACAGUUCCUGGCGUGUAGUUGAUGCUCAACAAAUUUUUGGGUUACCAUGUUAGUUUGGUUCAGUGGAAUUUACUUUUCCAAACAUAGAAGAUCUAAAAGGAACAAAAGAGUCUGAGAACUAAUUCAGAACAGUGAGUAAAAACUGAUACAAUCUUAUGCUACUACAUUGGCCAAGGGGAGAAAAUAUAAUUAUGCGAUGAAUCAGACAUAGACACGUGUUGGGAACAACAAGGUGUUGAAAAAAAGUAUAGCUCCUUAUUUUAUGAAACAUAUUUUUGUUGUUGUUUUAUUCUUACAAACCUUUUUGUUAUCCCAGUGUUAUAAAUGUGGAAACUGAGGUUCAGAGUGGUGAUAUAUCCUGUACAAAGUCAAACAGUAAGUAUCAGAGUUGGUGCUCAAAAUUAAGUCUUCUCAAUAACUAACUUCAUGCUCAUUCUAGUAAGAUAGGGAAAGUAAGGAAUAAAUACUAAAAAUUAAAAUAUUAAAAUAAUAUUUUGAGGUGUUUAUCCUAGUUUUAUAUUCUGGUUUUGCAUGUUAUGAGUCACAUCACAUUCUUUCUGAGUGUGAUAACCUUUUACAGAGUGAUGCUUAUGAGACUUAAAUGGAAGAAUGUUGUAAAAAUGUUGUGCUUAUUGGUGUUCUUAUUCCCUCAUAGUGUGGCAAACCACAGCUAGACUGGGUUAUAGGAAAUGGUCUGAGUAGAGACAAGUAAGAAUUUAAUUGUAUCAAGCCCCUAGGAAGAUAUCAGCAGAGACAACUGAUGCCAAUUUUAAAUGUUUUAGUGUAACUGAAAGGAAGAUGGCAUUGAAAUAUCUUUUCCAGUGAAUACUUUAAAGUUACUCACCUUUCUAAAACAAGCGUUAUCAAUUUGAAUUAAUGUAAAAGAAAUAUCACUGAAAAAUUUAUUCAUACAAAAUAAUGCUAAGUUGUACAAUAUAGUGAUUCAACAGUUCCAUUCAUCACCUGAUGCUCAUCACAACAAGUGCACUCCUUAAUCUCCAUCAUCUAUUUAACCCAUACCCCCAUCCACUUCCCUUCUGGUAACCAUCAGUUUCUUGACUAUAGUUUUUUUUUUUUUUUUUCAAUUCCCGUUAGUUAACAUACAGUGUAAUAUUAGUUUCAGGUAUACAAUAAAGUGAUUGAACACUUCCAUACACCACCUAGUGCUCAUCACAACAAGUGCACUCCUUAAUCCUCAUCACCUUUUCUCUAUGGUUAAGAAUGUGUUGUUUGGUUUGCUUCCCUUUUUUUCCCCCUUUGCUUGUUUGUUUUGUUUGUUAAAUUCCACAUAUGAGUGAAAUCAUAUGGUAUUUGUCUUUCUCUGACUGACUUAUUUCACUUAGCAUAAUACUGUCUAGCUCCAUCCAUGUCAUUGCAAAUGUCAAGGUUUCAUUCUUAUAGCUGAGUAAUAUUUCAGUGUGUGUGUAUAGAUAUAUACCACAUCUUCUUUAUCCAUUCAUGAAUUGAUGGACACUUGGACUGUUUCCAUAAUUUGGCUAUUGUAGAUUAGAUAAUGCUGCUAUAAACAUUGGGAAUGCAUGUAUCCCUUUGAGUUAGUGUUUUUGUAUUCUUUGGGUAAAUAUCUAGUUGUGUGAUUGCUGGAUCGUAGGGUAGUUCUAUUUUUCA